rnacentral:rRNA from 1 species
UACGUAGGUGGCGAGCGUUGUCCGGAUUUACUGGGCGUAAAGCGUGCGUAGGUGGUUCGUUAAGUCCGAUGUGAAAGCCCUGGGCUCAACCUGGGAAUUGCAUUGGAUACUGGCGGGCUAGAGUGCGGUAGAGGAUGGCGGAAUUCCCGGUGUAGCAGUGACAUGCGUAGAGAUUGGGAGGAACAUCCGUGGCGAAGGCGGCCAUCUGGACCAGCACUGACACUGAGGCACGAAAGCGUGGGGAGCAAACAGG